AUUGAACGCUGGCGGCAUGCCUUACACAUGCAAGUCGAACGGCAGCGGGGGAGAAGCUUGCUUUUCCUGCCGGCGAGUGGCGAACGGGUGAGUAAUACAUCGGAACGUGCCCUGUAGUGGGGGAUAACUAGUCGAAAGAUUAGCUAAUACCGCAUACGACCUGAGGGUGAAAGUGGGGGACCGCAAGGCCUCAUGCUAUAGGAGCGGCCGAUGUCUGAUUAGCUAGUUGGGGGGGUAAAGGCCUACCAAGGCGACGAUCAGUAGCUGGUCUGGGAGGACGAUCAGGCACACUGGGACUGGGACACGGCCCAGACUCCUACAGGAGGAAGCAGUGGGGAAUUUUGGACAAUGGGCGAGAGCCAGAUCCAGCAAUGCCGCGUGUGUGAAGAAGGCCUUCGGGUUGUAAAGCACUUUUGUCCGGAAAGAAAUGGCUCUGGUUAAUACCUGGGGUCGAUGACGGUACCGGAAGAAUAAGGACCGGCUAACUACGUGCCAGCCGCCGCAGUAA
rnacentral:rRNA from 1 species